rnacentral:rRNA from 1 species
UACGUAGGGGGCAAGCGUUGUCCGGAGUACUGGCGUAAAGCGCACGCAGGCGGUCUUUUAAGUUUGGAGUGACAGUUGGUGGCUUAACUGCCAAAGUGCUUCGAAAACUGAAAGACUUGAGGGCUUCAGAGGGACACGGAAUUCCGGGGUGGAGUGGUGAAAUGCGUAGAGAUCCGGAGGAACACCAAAGGCGAAGGCAGUGUCCC